rnacentral:rRNA from 1 species
UACGUAGGGUGCGGGCGUUCAUCGGAAUUACUGGGCGUAAAGCGUGCGCAGGCGGUUUUGUAAGUCCGAUGUGAAAGCCCCGGGCUUAACCUGGGAAUGGCAUUUGGGACUGCAAGGCUUGAGUGUGGCAGAGGAGACUGGAAUUCCUGGUGUAGCAGUGAAAUGCGUAGAUAUCAGGAGGAAUACCGAUGGCGAAGGCAGGUCUCUGGGCUGACACUGACGCUCAUGCACGAAAGCGUGGGGAGCAAACAGG